CCUUCGAUAGCUCAGUUGGUAGAGCGGUGGACUGUAGUUGGCAUGGUUACACGGAGACAUCCAUAGGUCGCUGGUUCAAAUCCGGCUCGAAGGA
rnacentral:tRNA from 1 species